CUUCGUGAAUUCCGAGAGAAUGUCUGCGUAUAUGUUUAGAAUUAUUGCUGAGAAUUCUCCCAAGACUCCCGGUAGAACUCCAUAAUUCUCUCUUCUGAAAAACUUUUCAAUAAUUAUCCACAAAUUCCCAAACAAUUAUUUGCGGGAUUCAAGGAUCCAACGAUUUUUUUUUUCAGAAAUUCUCGAACGAAUUUUCUCCAGAUUCGCGAAGAAAUUCUCCUAGAACUCUUGAAUGAAUCCUCAAAGGAUACCAGAAGGAUUCGUCCCAGUUAUCACGAAGAUAUCCUUCCAGAAAUUUUGAAAGAAUUCUUUAAUUAAUCUCAAAAAAUAUCAACUGGUUUCCACUUUGAUUUAUUGUCAGAAAUCGUGACUGAAUUCCAAAAAAAAACCCUUCAUGGAAUUCAGUAGGAAAUCCCGUAUGAAAAAAAAGGAUUCUCUCUCGAAUUUAGUAUGGAUCCCAAAAGGAUUCUAGAAACAAAACCGAAAGGACUGGCCGUAUUUGAUAGAGUUUUUCAGUGGCCGUGAAUUCUUUUAGUGAGAUAUUUAGUUUUAAUUUUCAUAACGAAUUGAAUCAAUACAUACACCUAGGAUUAUUUUUAUUUAGGUUUUGCCAGUCUUGUCAGUCUCAUCGUCUCAAAUCAUCAUCGGAGAACUAGGCAUUCCGGAAAGUUGGAUCUUAUGAACCAAAAGGAUAAGGGCUGGAUUACGGUUCUGCUAUCACCUUCUACUGCGCUGCAAGCCGAUGCCCAAGCCCAAGCACACGAGGUUACCAUGGAGUAUACCACGGCGGAUUAUGUGAUCAAUUAUGAUCUUCCCUAUCUUAAGUUAUUGCUAGAAGAAUUCAAGGACGCCAAACAAAUUUCCUAUUAGUCUAAGUAUCAAGGAUAUUAGAUUUCGACCCGAGGUUAUAGAGCUUAAUGAGAAAUUUAACCUCCGGGAAACAAUUGACGAAGGUGAUCGAGGUUCGUCUAGAGGAGCAUCAACAGAGCUAUGUGCUGAUGAGAAGCCAACUGGAAAACUGUCCUUUCUGCAGCAUGAAAGGAUUCAGAAUGGAAUCUAAAAUUGAUUCCACAAUAGGGGGAAAGACGGCUUUGGCAGGUUUUGUUCUAUUAUUGUCAGGGGGGUUUUUGUCGACCAAAUUUUAUGAAAUUUGGCCACAAUAUUCUUUGAUAUGCAAAGAAUGUUCAGGCCAAAUUUGAGCAUAGUCAGUCAUAAAAAACCCCUGCAAAUAAUAGAACAAAACCUGCCAAAGCCGUCAUUCCCCCUAUGUGAUUUCGAAUGAGUAACGAAUGGAAUGACGAGUUUUGAAUUCUUACGGGAUUCUAUUCGUACGCCAGUCGGUAUUCUAUUCUGAAUCUAUAUGUUUUUUCGGUAUUCUUCCGAGAUUUUAGUCGAAAUAUUUUCGGUACUCCGUUCAGAAUCCUUGCGGGAUUUCAUUCGUAAUUCUUCAGGGAUUAAAUUCAAAAUUCUUUAGGGGUUCCAUUCGUAAUCCAUUUGUAAUCCUUAUGAAUUUCCAUUCGCAUUCUACACAAUCAUUUGAGGUCACAUUCAGAAUCUGUCGGACAAUAAAAAAAAGAAUCUGUUGGGGAAUCCUUGGACUGCGGGAUUCCAUUUGAAAUCCUCUUGGGAAUUCAUUCAAAACAUGUUCAGAAUUCCAUUCAUAAUCCGUUCGGAGUUCUACACUUUGAGCACUUUUGUGGAAUUUUGAAAGUAUUUCUAAUGAUAUCCCGCAAUGAUUUCGAAUAGAAUACCAAGGGAAAUACAUAAAGAAUUGCGAAUGGAAUCCCAAAAAUGGUUUCGAACGGAAUUCCAAAAGAAUUACGGAUUUUAUCCCCAAAGAAUUACCAACGGAAUUCCAAAUAAAAUACCGAACGACGAAAGGUUUCCUAAGGGAUUCGGAAAAAUAUCUCGAGUGGAUUCCACAUGUGAUUCUAAAAAUAAUCCGAAUCGAACCCGGAAAGAAUUCCGAGUGGAAUCAAUUCGAGAUCUCAUUCAGAAUCAUUCCGUGAUUCCUUUCGAAAUUUCGUGGGAAUUAUAUUCGCACUCCUUUUGGGAUAAAAUUUGAUUUUGUUUUGGAAUUUCAUUCGAAAUAAUCGAGGGAUUUCAUUUGGAAUCAUUUUGUAAUUCCAUAGUGUGCUAUAGGAAAGUAUGGAGGCAAGAAAAAAGAAUGGAAGACCACAAGGAUUUCGAAUAAAAUCUUAAGAGGAUUCUGAUUGACUGAUGAAGCAGAUGAAAAAGCGAAAAGGUUUGGAAUAGAAUACCAAAAGGGUUACGAAUGAAAUUCCGAAAGGAUAGCGAAUGGCAUCACGUGAGGUUUGUGAAUUGAAACCUGAGAAUAACCUUUCGAUUUGGUAUUGAGAUUUCAUUAGCUAUCCUUUCGCAACUUAUUUAAAAAAAUCGGAACCUUUCAGAAUUCUAUGUCUCAUCCUUUGAGAAGUUUAUUCUCAAUACUUUAAGGAUCAACUUCGAAUUUACUGGUGAUUCCUUUCAAAACCAUUCUUGGGAAUCUGUUCGGAAUCCACUAAAGAUUCCAAUUGUGUAGGGAUUCUAUCCAGAAACCUUUCGAGAUUCCACAAACAGUGCUUUAGCUUUUCGGUCUGAUUUUUUUCAGGAUUUUAUUUGGAAUAAUUUCGAUGUUCCAAUUGUAUUUUUGUGAUUCCAUACGCUUCCUUCUAGAACUCCUUUCGGUAUACUUUCAGCAUUUCUUUCGGGAAUCCCGGGAAGGAUUUCGAAACUAAUUCUCAAUGAAUUGAUGGAUUGUUCAAAUGCUAUUUAGAAAAAAAUUGCGAAUGGACCCUGGAAAUUUUUCCCAUUGGAAUCCUUAGGGAAUUUCCAAUAAUUUAUAGAAUCUUAACAUAUCUAAAUUCCAAUGCCAUGGCCAUUGGCUAUGCACCGCAAACGGGUUCUAUCUGAUGCCCCUACUCGAUUCCAUGGAAUCGAUAUAUCCUUCUCACAAUCAUUAUCCAAUUUACGGACGCAUUCCCGAGUAUAACUUAACUUGCUACUGUAUAAGGGUGAAAUCAGGAGUGAUUCAGUUUGAUUCUAAAUUUUCGACCACUAUUCUAGUUUGCAUCUGGAGCAAAAUAGAACAAACUCGCUGGUUUUCCCAGCAGUGUUCUAUUCAUGUUUUUCAAAUUUUCAAAUAAUUGAAAUCAUUAUGUUA